UUCGGGUCUAGUGGCGCACGGGCGCGUAACGCGUGGGAAUCUGCCCUGGGGUGCGGAAUAACUCGGAGAAAUCCGUGCUAAUACCGCAUAAUGUCUUCGGACCAAAGAUUUAUUGCCCUGGGGUGAGCCCGCGUAGGAUUAGCUAGUUGGUGGGGUAAAGGCCUACCAAGGCGACGAUCCUUAGCUGGUCUGAGAGGAUGAUCAGCCACACUGGGACUGAGACACGGCCCAGACUCCUACGGGAGACAGCAGUGGGGAAUAUUGGACAAUGGGCGAAAGCCUGAUCCAGCAAUGCCGCGUGAGUGAUGAAGGCCCUAGGGUUGUAAAGCUCUUUUACCCGGGAUGAUAAUGACAGUACCGGGAGAAUAAGCUCCGGCUAACUCCGUGCCAGCAGCCGCGGUAAUACGGAGGGAGCUAGCGUUGUUCGGAAUUACUGGGCGUAAAGCGCGCGUAGGCGGUCCAUCAAGUCAGAGGUGAAAGCCCGGGGCUCAACCCCGGAACUGCCUUUGAAACUGGCGGACUAGAAUCUUGGAGAGGCGAGUGGAAUUCCGAGUGUAGAGGUGAAAUUCGUAGAUAUUCGGAAGAACACCAGUGGCGAAGGCGACUCGCUGGACAAGUAUUGACGCUGAGGUGCGAAAGCGUGGGGAGCACACAGGAUUAGAUACCCUGGUAGUCCACGCCGUAAACGAUGAUAACUAGCUGUCCGGGCUCAUGGAGUCUGGGUGGCGCAGCUAACGCAUUAAGUUAUCCGCCUG
rnacentral:rRNA from 1 species